rnacentral:rRNA from 1 species
UACCCGCAGCACAAGUGGUGGUCAUUAUUAUUGGGCCUAAAGCGUCCGUAGCUGGCUUGUUAGAUGCCUGGGUAAAUCGAUGCGCUUAACGCAUCGAAUUCCGGGUAGACCGGCAAGCUCGAGACCGAGAGAGGUGUAGGGUACUCGGGGGGUAGGGGUAAAAUCCUGUAAUCCUCCGGGGACGACCAGUGGCGAAGGCGCUACACUAGAACGGCUCUGACAGUGAGGGACGAAGCCCUGGGGCGCAAACCGG